UGUUUCGGCAAGGGGGUCAUCCCGACUUACCAACCCGAUGCAAACUGCGAAUACCGGAGAAUGUUAUCACGGGAGACACACGGCGGGUGCUAACGUCCGUCGUGAAGAGGGAAACAACCCAGACCGCCAGCUAAGGUCCCAAAGUCAUGGUUAAGUGGGAAACGAUGUGGGAAGGCCCAGACAGCCAGGAUGUUGGCUUAGAAGCAGCCAUCAUUUAAAGAAAGCGUAAUAGCUCACUGGUCGAGUCGGCCUGCGCGGAAGAUGUAACGGGGCUAAACCAUGCACCGAAGCUGCGGCAGCGACGCUUAUGCGUUGUUGGGUAGGGGAGCGUUCUGUAAGCCUGUGAAGGUGUGCUGUGAGGCAUGCUGGAGGUAUCAGAAGUGCGAAUGCUGACAUAAGUAACGAUAAAGCGGGUGAAAAGCCCGCUCGCCGGAAGACCAAGGGUUCCUGUCCAACGUUAAUCGGGGCAGGGUGAGUCGACCCCUAAGGCGAGGCCGAAAGGCGUAGUCGAUGGGAAACAGGUUAAUAUUCCUGUACUUGGUGUUACUGCGAAGGGGGGACGGAGAAGGCUAUGUUGGCCGGGCGACGGUUGUCCCGGUUUAAGCGUGUAGGCUGGUUUUCCAGGCAAAUCCGGAAAAUCAAGGCUGA
rnacentral:rRNA from 1 species